rnacentral:rRNA from 1 species
AUGGGGCCUCGUCGAGACGGCGUCCGCUUCAUCUCCUCCGGCGUCAAGCUCCCGCGCGCCUCCCCGGCCCCGGCGCAUGCCCUGCUCUCCGCCGCGCUACCCCCGUUCGCGCACAUCGGCCGGGCCAUCAACGCCGCGGCCCGCCGCGUCGCCGCUUCGUUCCCCCGCGUCCCAGCCGCGCGGGCCGAGACGCCGGCCGCGCCGUUGCCGCGGAGGCACGGGAAGGACAGCGGCGGGGCCGGGGGCGAGGAGCGGGUUCUAAUCAGCGAGGUGGCGGUGCGCGGAAAGGACGGGGAGCCCCUGGAGAGGCCCGAGCUGGAGGAGGCGGCCGCCGGGGCCCUGCGAGCGUGCCGCCCCAACGCGGCGCUUACGGUGAGGGAGGUGCAGGAGGAUGUGCACCGCGUGGUGGAGAGCGGCCUCUUCCGCUCCUGCAUGCCCGUUGCCGUCGACACCCGCGACGGCAUUCGCCUCGUCUUUGAGGUGGAGCCGAACCAGGACUUCCACGGGCUGGUCUGUGAGGGUGCCAACAUGCUGCCUUCCAAGUUCCUAGAUGACUCAUUUCGCGACCACCAUGGUAAAAUAAUCAACAUAAGACAUUUAGAUCAAGUGAUUAAGUCCAUUAAUGGAUGGUAUCAGGAGCGCGGUCUUACUGGCAUGGUUUCGUAUGCUGAGAUCCUUUCUGGAGGAAUUCUAAGGCUACAAGUUUCUGAAGCUGAGGUUAAUAAUAUCAAUAUUCGCUUUCUGGACAGAAGAACUGGUGAACCAACUACUGGAAAAACAAAACCAGAAACCAUACUCCAGCAGCUUACCACCAAGAAGGGUCAGGCAUACAAUAGAGCACAAGUGAAAAGAGAUGUUGAAACAAUACUCACUAUGGGAAUUAUGGAGGAUGUCACAAUAAUUCCGCAGCCCGUGGGAGAUUCUAAUAAAGUGGAUCUUGUCAUGAAUCUUGUCGAACGCAAAUCUGGUGGUUUCUCUGCUGGUGGUGGCAUUUCGAGUGGGAUAACAAAUGGGCCUCUUUCUGGAUUGAUUGGCAGCUUUGCAUAUUCUCAGCGGAAUGUUUUUGGAAGGAACAAGAAGUUGAAUCUCUCACUAGAGAGGGGCCAAAUAGAUUCUAUAUUUCGUUUAAACUACACUGACCCUUGGAUUGACGGUGACAAUAAGAGGACCUCCAGAACUGUCAUGGUUCAGAACUCUAGGACCCCUGGAACACUUAUCCAUGGUGGGGAGCAUCCUGACCAUAGUCCUAUUACAAUUGGACGGGUAACUGCUGGCAUUGAAUAUAGUCGACCUUUCAGGCCUAAAUGGAGUGGUACUCUUGGAUUGAUAUUUCAGCAUGCUGGUGCUCGUGAUGACAAAGGCAACCCUAUGAUCAGAGAUUUCUAUAACAGCCAAUUAACUGCAAGCGGCAAUCCUUAUGAUGACACGUUACUUGCUAAGCUUGAAAGUGUCUACACAGACUCUGGAGACCAUAGCUCUACAAUGUUUGUUUUCAACGUCGAGCAAGGUCUGCCCAUUCUUCCGGAGUGGCUUAGUUUCAACAGAGUGACAGCCCGUUUGAGACAGAGCUAUGAAAUUGGUCCUGCCCGACUUCUUCUAAGUGCUUCUGGAGGUCAUGUGGAGGGGAACUUUUCGCCUCAUGAAGCAUUUGCAAUUGGUGGGACAAACAGUGUAAGAGGAUAUGAAGAAGGUGCUGUUGGUUCUGGCCGCUCAUAUGCAGUUGGUAGUGGUGAAGUCUCUUGCCGCUUGUUUGGUCCCUUGGAAGGUGUUGUCUUUGGUGACUAUGGUAGUGAUCUUGGCUCUGGUCCAACGGUUCCUGGUGACCCAGCAGGGGCCCGUGGGAAGCCAGGAAGCGGCUACGGGUAUGGUGUUGGUAUCCGUGUGGACUCCCCACUGGGACCUUUGAGACUUGAAUACGCUUUCAAUGACAAACAAGCAAGACGAUUUCACUUUGGUGUUGGGCACAGAAAUUAA